rnacentral:lncRNA from 1 species
AAAAUCUUCACACCCCCAAGUUUAAUAAAUAAUCACACCCCUCCACCACUACACCACCACCACUUCACUAAUCCCACCACCGUCCGCCGCCGCCGCCGCCGCCGCCAUGAAAGAAGAAGAUAAGAGCAGCUUCCGUACAAAACACGUCGGAGAUGAGUACACGAUGAGAUCAUUCCGGCGGAGAUGCGGCCGUCUGGUGAAGGAGCAGAGAGCUAGGUUUUACAUCCUCCGCCGCUGCGUCGUCAUGUUGCUUUGCUGGCAAGAUAAUU